rnacentral:rRNA from 1 species
GAUGAACGCUGGCGGCGUGCCUAAUACAUGCAAGUCGAGCGAACAGACGAGGAGCUUGCUCCUCUGACGUUAGCGGCGGACGGGUGAGUAGCACGUGGAUAACCUACCUAUAAUACUGGGAUAACUUCGGGAAACCGGAGCUAAUACCGGAUAAUAUAUUGAACCGCAUGGUUCAAUAGUGAAAGACGGUUUUGCUGUCACUUAUAGAUGGAUCCGCGCCGCAUUAGCUAGUUGGUAAGGUAACGGCUUACCAAGGCAACGAUGCGUAGCCGACCUGAGAGGGUGAUCGGCCACACUGGAACUGAGACACGGUCCAGACUCUUACGGGAGGCAGCAGUAGGGAAUCUUCCGCAAUGGGCGAAAGCCUGACGGAGCAACGCCGCGUGAGUGAUGAAGGUCUUCGGAUCGUAAAACUCUGUUAUUAGGGAAGAACAAAUGUGUAAGUAACUAUGCACGUCUUGACGGUACCUAAUCAGAAAGCAACGGCUAACUACGUG